UACGGGGGGGGCAAGCGUUGUUCGGAAUUACUGGGCGUAAAGGGCUCGUAGGUGGCCAACUAAGUCAGACGUGAAAUCCCCAGGCUCAACCUGGGAACUGCGUCUGAUACUGGAUGGCUUGAAUUCGGGAGAGGGAUGCAGAAUUCCAGGUGUAGCGGUGAAAUGCGUAGAUAUCUGGAGGAAUACCGGUGGCGAAGGCGGCAUCCUGGACCGAGAUUGACACUGAUGAGCGAAAGCCAGGGGAGCAAACGGG
rnacentral:rRNA from 1 species